GUUUGAAGCUCUUGCAAUUGAAAUUGAUCAAUCUCUAAGGCUCUUGUUUUCUUAGUGCACAUCAAUACUCUUUGUUAUCUCGUGCAAAGAUAACUUUCUUCUUCCUCCUCCUCUGUUUGAUUCUCAAACAUUCAAACUCCACACAAAUUGCAAAGCAUACAAGAAAAACAACUUAAGGUUGUUUUGAAGCUUUAGCAUCUGAAUUGAUCAUCACUGAAGAUUCUUU
rnacentral:lncRNA from 1 species